rnacentral:rRNA from 1 species
UACGUAGGGGGCUAGCGUUGUCCGGAAUCAUUGGGCGUAAAGCGCGUGUAGGCGGUCCGGUAAGUCCGCUGUGAAAGUCGAGGGCUCAACCCUCGAAUGCCGGUGGAUACUGUCGGGCUAGAGUACGGAAGAGGCGAGUGGAAUUCCUGGUGUAGCGGUGGAAAUGCGCAGAUAUCAGGAAGAACACCCGUGGCAAAGGCGGUCUCUGGGACGGUACUGACGCUGAGACGCGAAAGCGUGGGGAGCGAACAGG